UCUAGCGAGACUGCCGGUAAUAAACCGGAGGAAGGUGGGGAGUGACGUCAAAUCAUCAUGCCCUUAUGACCUGGGCUACACACGUGCUACAAUGGUUGGUACAACGAGUUGCGAGUCGGUGACGGCGAGCUAAUCUCUUAAAGCCAAUCUCAGUUCGGAUUGUAGGCUGCAACUCGCCUACAUGAAGUCGGAAUCGCUAGUAAUCGCGGAUCAGCACGCCGCGGUGAAUACGUUCCCGGGCCUU
rnacentral:rRNA from 1 species